AUUGAACGCUGGCGGCAGGCCUAACACAUGCAAGUCGAACGGUAACAGGAAACAGCUUGCUGUUUCGCUGACGAGUGGCGGACGGGUGAGUAAUGUCUGGGAAACUGCCUGAUGGAGGGGGAUUACUACUGGAAACGGUAGCUAAUACCGCAUAACGUCGCAAGACCAAAGAGGGGGACCUUCGGGCCUCUUGCCAUCGGAUGUGCCAGAUGGGAUUAGCUAGUAGGUGGGGUAACGGCUCACCUAGGCGACGAUCCCUAGCUGGUCUGAGAGGAUGACCAGCCACACUGGAAAUGAGACACGGUCCAGACUCCUACGGGAGGCAGGAGUGGGGAAUAUUGCACAAUGGGCGCAAGCCUGAUGCAGCCAUGCCGCGUGUAUGAAGAAGGCCUUCGGGUUGUAAAGUACUUUCAGCGGGGAGGAAGGGAGUAAAGUUAAUACCUUUGCUCAUUGACGUUACCCGCAGAAGAAGCACCGGCUAACUCCGUGCCAGCCGCCGCGGUAA
rnacentral:rRNA from 1 species